ACAACUUGCUCUCUCAGCUGGACUUCUUUCUAUCUAACCAGAUACUUUCAAGAUCUGGGAGCUUCAGGUUCCUUGCUCCCUUGGCUUUGCCGUUGAUAACUUCCUGUCCAAUCCUACCAAAGUCUGGAACUGGAACAUCCAAGGGUUGCCCUUAGACGCCUUCUCUACUGAGAAUGGCAUCAUCAUCAAGCGAGGCCAUAGGAAGAAGUGUUUAAACUAUAAACUGAGGAGGAGAAAAUAUCUAGGAAAAGAGAAGAAAGUUGGCAAAACCAUGGUCUCCUUCUUCCUGAAUUUGUAACUUGGCCUACAAAGAAAGCAUCAGUCCUACUACACAGGAAGAGUCAACACUCGGAGGAGGCCUUCUGCACUUUGUCCUCUCCUUCUUUUCACUCCUCAUAAUGGGAAAGAAAUAAAUAACAGGAUAUCCAGUUUAGACUGAGGAUCAGAGAAGUCCUCUCUGAGGAAGUGCCUCUUAAGAUGAUGGCUGAAGAAGGCAUAUGAGUUAGCCCAAUGGACAAUGAAAGGAAAAUUACUGUAUUACAAGCAGAAAAAAACAACAUGUGAAUGCCUGGAGGCCCUGAGGCCCUUAGGUGAGAAACUGCUUGUCUGCAUGUGGUUCAGAGAAAACAAAUUAUAUAAAACGAAGUUAGCAGCGUCGGAAAGGUUUGUUAAGGAUUUUUUGUUUUAAGAUUUUGUAAGACCAC